rnacentral:sRNA from 1 species
CUGCAUUUAAGAGUUGUGUGUGGAGCC